GCCAUCGUGGCGCAAUGGUAGCGCAUCACCUUCCUAAUUCGGCCCACGUGACCGUGAAAAAGCAGGUGGGGGUUGCGGGUUCGAUCCCCGUCGGUGGUA